UACGGAGGGUGCGAGCGUUAUUCGGAAUUACUGGGCGUAAAGCGCGUGUAGGCGGGGGGACAAGUCUGAUGUGAAAGCCCUGGGCUUAACCUGGGAAGCGCAUUGGAAACUGUUUUUCUUGAGUACUGGAGAGGAAGGGGGAAUUCCCGGUGUAGAGGUGAAAUUCGUAGAGAUCGGGAGGAAUACCAGUGGCGUAGGCGCCCUUCUGGACGGUAACUGACGCUGAGACGCGAAAGCGUGGGGAGCAAACAGGG
rnacentral:rRNA from 1 species